rnacentral:sRNA from 1 species
UCAUAACGAAAAUAAACAGAUCUGUGUUUCGCGAUCCUGGCCAGUUUGUUUUUACAAGCUGUGAUCAGUUGAUUGCUGAACAGUUCGACGACAAAGGAGCCAUUCAUACAGGGUUUUUAAUUCUGGCAUGGUGUCGAUUUCCUGUCGACAGAUCUGAGAUCGAUGUACAGCUCUCAACACCCUCUGGCUUUGAGCUCCCUUUUUCACGAUUGGUGAGCUCGGUUGGAGGCUUGAGUCGCUGUCGGCGUCAUAUUCCCACUCCCUUUACCGAUUUUUUUGGCCGUCGGCUGAUGAGGUUAGGGAAAAACCAUGACAAGCCAACAUUC